rnacentral:tRNA from 1 species
GGCGGGAUGGCUGAGCGGCCGAAAGCGGCGCAUUGAUACUGCGCAAACCGGAAACGGUUCGUGGGUUCGAAUCCCACUCCCAUUA